rnacentral:rRNA from 1 species
AACGCGAAGAACCUUACCCAGGCUUGACAUCCUUGGAAUUUCUCCGAAAGGAGAGAGUGCCUUUGGAACCAAGUGACAGGUGAUGCAUGGCCGUCGUCAGCUCGUGUCGUGAGAUGUUUGGUUAAGUCCAUCAACGAGCGCAACCCUUUUAGUUAGUUGUAUUUCUCUAGCUAGACUGCCCUGGUAACAGGGAGGAAGGAGGGGAUGAUGUCAGGUCAGUAUUUCCCUUACGUCUGGGGCUACAAACACGCUACAAUGGCCAGUACAAAGGGCAGCCAAGUCGCAAGACGGAGCAAAUCCCAUCAAAGCUGGUCUCAGUUCGGAUAGCAGGCUGAAACCCGCCUGCUUGAAGCUGGAAUCGCUAGUAACGGUAGGUCAGCACACUACCGUGAAUACGUUCCCGGGCCUUGUA